rnacentral:rRNA from 1 species
GAUGAACGCUGGCGGCGUGCCUAAUACAUGCAAGUCGAGCGAACGGACGAGAAGCUUGCUUCUCUGAUGUUAGCGGCGGACGGGUGAGUAACACGUGGAUAACCUACCUAUAAGACUGGGAUAACUUCGGGAAACCGGAGCUAAUACCGGAUAAUAUUUUGAACCGCAUGGUUCAAAAGUGAAAGACGGUCUUGCUGUCACUUAUAGAUGGAUCCGCGCUGCAUUAGCUAGUUGGUAAGGUAACGGCUUACCAAGGCAACGAUGCAUAGCCGACCUGAGAGGGUGAUCGGCCACACUGGAACUGAGACACGGUCCAGACUCCUACGGGAGGCAGCAGUAGGGAAUCUUCCGCAAUGGGCGAAGGCCUGACGGAGCAACGCCGCGUGAGUGAUGAAGGUCUUCGGAUCGUAAAACUCUGUUAUUAGGGAAGAACAUAUGUGUAAGUAACUGUGAACAUCUUGACGGUACCUAAUCAGAAAGCCACGGCUAACUACGUG